rnacentral:rRNA from 1 species
AACGAACGCUGGCGGCAUGCCUAACACAUGCAAGUCGAACGAGACCUUCGGGUCUAGUGGCGCACGGGUGCGUAACGCGUGGGAACCUGCCCUUAGGUUCGGAAUAACUCCCCGAAAGGGGUGCUAAUACCGGAUAAUGUCUUCGGACCAAAGAUUUAUCGCCUUUGGAUGGGCCCGCGUUGGAUUAGCUAGUUGGUAGGGUAAAAGCCUACCAAGGCGACGAUCCUGAGCUGGUCUGAGAGGAUGAUCAGCCACACUGGGAAUGCGACACGGUCUAGACUCGGACGGGAGGGAGGAGUGUGUAGUACAGGAGGCGGAAGGAUGGCGUGAUCAAGCAAUGCGGCGUGAGUGAUGAAGGCCUUAGUGUUGUAAAGUUCUUUUAGACGAGAUGAGAAUGACAGUACCGGGAGAAUAAGCACCGGCUAACUACGUG